UACGUAGGGGGCAAGCGUUGUCCGGAAUCAUUGGGCGUAAAGCGCGUGUAGGCGGCCAGAAAAGUCCGCUGUGAAAACUCGAGGCUCAACUUCGAGCUGUCGGUGGAAACUUUCUGGCUAGAGUCCGGAAGAGGAGAAUGGAAUUCCUGGUGUAGCGGUGAAAUGCGCAGAUAUCAGGAAGAACACCAGUGGCGAAGGCGGCUCACUGGCCCGAUACUGACGCUGAGGCACGAAAGCGUGGGGAGCAAACAGG
rnacentral:rRNA from 1 species